rnacentral:lncRNA from 1 species
AGCAAAGCAUUGAACUUCUAAUCAGAAGAUAUGGGUGUGAACCCAACCUCUGAUAUUGACUAUGUUUGAUCCUGGAAAAGUCACUUACUUUCAGAGGCCUCAGUUUCCUCUUUGAUAAAAUAAGGAAGCAGGGUUAGAAUCAGGGCCUUGAUUCAUUUUUGUGAAAGAGCCUUCACUGAUACCUUGGUCAAAUCUAUGGGCUAUUUCUUAGGGGAAAAAAGUUUUUAAAUGCACAAAAUAGAAUAGUAGGAUUAUAUGUUGUUAAGUUAUGUGCGACUCUUUGUGACCCCAUUUGGGGUUUUCUUGGCAGAGAUACUCGAGUGGUUUGUCAUUUCCUUCUCUCAGCAUGUCCUUAUUUUACAGAUGAGGAACUAAUGCUGUGACUUGACCAAGAUUACACUGCUAGGAAGUGUCUGAGAUUGGAUUUGAACUCAUGUACUUCUGACUUCAGAUCCAGCAUUCUAUCCACUGACUAUUGGGUUAUAUAAGAUGACAUAUACUGUACAUGUGUGUGUAUAUGUAUAUGCAUAUGUGUAUAAAUUAUAUAUGAAACAAGUUCAUGAACCCAGUUUAAGAACCCUUGGAUUAAAUGAUACCUAAAGGUCUAUUCUGGCAAUAAAAUUUAUUACCAAUUCUGCAACUGGACAAUGCUGCUAUCUUGUGGUCAUAAAGUAGAACGCAGAGGACUCUAAAGGGGUCCCAGUGUUGGAUUGUAGAAAGGAUGUCACCAUUCUGUGGCUGCAUCUGGGAAGUCUGACUUCAAAUUUCACGUUUUAUUUAUUUACAUUUCAAAUUGCUACAGUACAUUUGGACCCCAAAGUCAAGCAACACUCAUCCAACUCUCACUGCAAAUGCCAUCACCAAAAACAUUUGUAACAGACAGGGGAAUUACAUCUUCUAACUUUAAUUUAUGAUGCUAACAUUGGCUUUUCUUUUGGACAAGGGUUUGUUGCUGCUCUCUUCUUUUGGUCACUGAGCAUAGCACUCCUUUGGCUGAGUUCUCUUCACUCAUUUCUUCCUCUGGAUGUGGAUAGUGUUCUUUCUCAUAAGGCCCUCAGAAUUGUCCUGGAUCAUUGCAUUGCCACUAAUGGAGAAGUCCAUUACAAUCAAUCUACAUCUAAUUUCUACCAAAACUGUUUCCCAGUUUUCCCAGCAAUUUUGGUCCUAAAGUGAGUCCUUACCCUGGUAUUUGA